GAAAGCCUUGGCUUGCCAGGGCGAGUAAAGUGGCGCACGGGUGAGUAACGCGUGGGUAAUCUACCCUUGAAUCGGGGAUAACCCUUCGAAAGGGGGCUAAUACCGGAUAACAUCGGUUAUUUUCGAAUUGACCGAUCAAAAGUGGCCUCUACAUGUAAGCUACUGUUUGAGGAUGAGCCCGCGUACCAUUAGCUAGUUGGCAGGGUAAAGGCCUACCAAGGCGACGAUGGUUAGCUGGUCUGAGAGGAUGAUCAGCCACACUGGAACUGACACACGGUCCAGACUCCUACGGGAGGCAGCAGUGAGGAAUUUUGCGCAAUGGGGGAAACCCUGACGCAGCAACGCCGCGUGAGUGAUGAAGGCUUUCGGGUCGUAAAGCUCUGUCAAGUGGGAAGAACCUACAUAUGGUUAAUACCCAUGUGUACUGACGGUACCACUGAAGGAAGCACCGGCUAACUCCGUGCCAGCAGCCGCGGUAA
rnacentral:rRNA from 1 species